rnacentral:misc_RNA from 1 species
GAGUGAGCAUUCGUCUUCUGGUUACGGGGCCAUAGCUCAGCUGGGAGAGCGCGUGCUUUGCAAGCAUGAGGUCGUCGGUUCGAUCCCGUCUGGCUCCACCAGAUGGUUUGAUCACCGAGAUCUUGACCGUCGUCCGCGAAACAUCACUUCGCAUCCUGCUAGUCUGGAUAGACAGCAGUUUGCGUGUUUUCUGACAUCGUAAAGAGGAGAUCGAUCCGAGUUGGGUCGUGCAGCAUAUCGUUGCGCGAGCCUUCAUUAUCUCCGGAUCAUUUCGGCGCUCGCUUCCAGCCGUGAGGUUGGAUGCGGGUUGUAAAUGAUCCUUUUAGCGAAGCUUGACCGCCUCGCUAUCGGAACGAUCUUACGAAGCAAGCUGGUCUUUCUAGUCAAUGUCCGGCUGCGGAUAGCGUUCAUCGAGGGCGCGUGCCGCAAGGCAAUUCUGCAGACAACAUUCUGCCGAGUGUGUGGACAUUGAUAAUGAGAGCAAUCAAGUGCCUUAAGGGUGUUCGGUGGAUGCCUUGGCGCUGAGAGGCGAUGAAGGACGUGCUACGCUGCGAUAAGCCGUGGGGAGCUGCGAAGAAGCUUUGAUCCGCGGAUUUCCGAAUGGGGAAAACCCGGA